AGGCUUAACACAUGCAAGUCGAAGGUGAAGCGGGGCUUCGGCCCCGUGGAAACUGGCGCACGGGUGAGGAACGCGUGGGAAUCUACCCCGGGGUGGGGAAUAACCGCUGGAAACGGCGGCUAAUACCGCAUACGCCUUGCGAGGGAAAGCUUUAGCGCCCUGGGAUGAGCCCGCGUCGGAUUAGCUUGUUGGUGAGGUAACGGCUCACCAAGGCUUCGAUCCGUAGCUGGUCUGAGAGGAUGAUCAGCCACACUGGGACUGAGACACGGCCCAGACUCCUACGGGAGGCAGCAGUGGGGAAUAUUGGACAAUGGGGGCAACCCUGAUCCAGCCAUGCCGCGUGCGUGAAGAAGGCCUUAGGGUUGUAAAGCGCUUUCGGCGGGGAAGAUGAUGACGGUACCCGCAGAAGAAGCUCCGGCUAACUCCGUGCCAGCAGCCGCGGUAAUACGGAGGGGGCUAGCGUUGUUCGGAAUUACUGGGCGUAAAGGGCGCGUAGGCGGAUCGUCAAGUCAGAGGUGAAAGCCCUGGGCUCAACCUGGGAACUGCCUUUGAAACUAAUGGUCUAGAGUCCGAGAG
rnacentral:rRNA from 1 species